CAGAGGGGGCAAGCGUUGUUCGGAAUUACUGGGCGUAAAGGGCGCGUAGGCGGCCACCUAAGUCAGACGUGAAAUCCCUCGGCUCAACCGGGGAACUGCGUCUGAUACUGGGUGGCUUGAAUUCGGGAGAGGAAUGCGGAAUUCCAGGUGUAGCGGUGAAAUGCGUAGAUAUCUGGAGGAACACCGGUGGCGAAGGCGGCAUUCUGGACCGACAUUGACGCUGAGGCGCGAAAGCCAGGGGAGCAAACGGGAUUAGAUACCCCGGUAGUCCUGGCCCUAAACGAUGAAUGCUUGGUGUGGCGGGUAUCGAUCCCUGCCGUGCCGAAGCUAACGCAUUAAGCAUUCCGCCUGGGGAGUACGGUCGCAAGGCUG
rnacentral:rRNA from 1 species